UGAAAACAACUCCACUUUUUUCUUAGUUAUUUUUUCCUGAAUUACAUUAAGGUUAGUUAAAGAAAAGAUGAGAGUAGUCCUUGUAAUGUAUUUAGAGGUAUCCAGAAUAUUGGAUAAUAGUCCACUUCUUCUAUUAGUUUGGCAGUUUACAAACAACAUGAAUGGCUCUGAAUGGAUUAAACAGAAGGAGAAUAGUGGAGCUCUGUGAUUCUGCAAUACUAGAAACAUCUCUCAACAGAGACAUGGUCUUCAGACUUUGGUCAUUGUCUAUCACAUUCCCUUAUUCUGGAUGCGGAAAGAAGGUGUUCAACAAUUCCUAGCAUAACCCUACUCCUUGCUCCAGUAUUAUUGCUCUCUAAUUUUAUGGCCUCUACAAUACAUCUAAGGAUCUGGAUUCUCUUCUAUCUAGGUAACCUUCCUCUCUUUCCCCCAAGGAGCAGGUCCACGGGAUUUUGCUUUACCUAUUCUCCUUUUAAUCUAUUGUUUUGUCUAUUCCUAGCUUUUCUCUGGGGUUUCUCUUUUGAUUCUUUUCUUUUUAUGCUUGCACUAACAAUGUUGAUUCUUCUCCAGACCCUGGGUGAUGCUGAAAGUCUGAGAUGGAAGGAAAAAGGCAAAUCAAAGCAUGAUGAUAUUAUGUAGACAAGCAAUGCUGAGCUUGACAAGUGUCGGUGAUGAGUAAUGUACAGGUUAGAAGAAAAUACGGAAGGGAUGAACAUGCACAGAAGACACAGAUGAGAAGCCAGGAAUGCACAUCACCAUUGUCACCCGAACAAUGCAUCUGUACUCUUAGUGAAUGUUUGAAGGUCCAAGAUGAAUUUAUCCAAUGCUGUGGACUCAUUUUAUUUGGGCACCCACCUCGGCAACUGAGGUCACCUUUUGCAAGCUAUAGAAGAUAAAAUGCACUUGUUAAAGAGCCAUUCAGGACUAAAAAGGGACUGAGAAAUCAAUUGUAAAUGGAUAUGGACAAUUUUGUUUGUUCAGUUUAUAAACAGUUUGAAAAGUUCUGAAACUUGCCCAGAAUACUUUAGUUUAGGGACAGAUGUGUAAAAUUACAUUAAAACAAGCUUAGUGCUUACAUUGUCCCUGUUACAAUAUGACAGAUAUUUUAUUUUGGUAUUUUCACUAUUUGCUGUUUAAUUCAGAUGUGACAUUAAAUAUCUCUGUUUGCCUUUAACAAUUAAAAAUAAUCAUGCAUAUCAUACAAAAUAUUCUUUUAACUAAUUUAUAUUAUUAAAGAACAAAACAACUUUUAAAGUCUGUAAUUCAUAUCGUGCUAAUUUGUGACUACAAUUUAUUUUUUAAGGUCUAAUAUCCAGAUUUGUUUUAGAUUCACAGAAAAAUUGAGAAGAUAGUGUACAAAAUUCACAUAAUAUCUUCACAUCGAAUUUUUCAUAUCAAUACAAAAAUACAUUAGUAUGGGAAGUUUGCCAUGAUGAACAAGCCAAUAUUGAUUCAUUAAUAAUUACAGAAAUCUAUACUUCAUUCAGAUUUCCUUAGGUUUUAAUCUGAUACCUAUUUAUACUCUAGUUUAUAUUCUGUAGUUUUUAUGCCCACAUAGGCUUCUCUUGGCUAUGGCAGAUGUUUAGAUUUUCCUUGUUUUUGCUCAUCAUGAGAGUUUUAAGUGGUGCAUAUUAGGUAUAUUAUGGAAUGUUUCCCAGUGGGUAUUUGUCUGAUGUUUCUCUUAUUAUUAGGCUGAAGUGUAGAUUUUAGGAAAAAAAAAAAAGUCAAAGAGAUAAAAUGCCAAUGAUAUCACAUCCUAUCAAGAGAGUACAGUAAGGUUAUUUUUUUCUUUUCCCUCCAUUUCCACAUUGAAAAUUUUGUGAGGAAGGCACUAUAUAUAGAAUAGGUAGAGAUUUACUCCUU